UACGUAGGGGGCAAGCGCUGUCCGGAUUUAUUGGGCGUAAAGAGCGUGUAGGUGGUUUGGUAGGUCCGUUGUGAAAACUCGAGGCUCAACCUCGAGACGCCGGUGGAAACCGUAAAGCUAGAGUCCGGAAGAGGAGAGUGGAAUUCCUGGUGUAGCGGUGAAAUGCGCAGAUAUCAGGAGGAACACCCGUGGCGAAAGCGGCUCUCUGGGACGGUACUGACGCUGAGACGCGAAAGCGUGGGGAGCAAACAGG
rnacentral:rRNA from 1 species